UACGUAGGGUGCGAGCGUUGUCCGGAAUUAUUGGGCGUAAAGCGCGUGUAGGCGGCUUUGCAAGUCGGGUGUGAAAGCCCUCAGCUCAACUGAGGAAGUGCGCCCGAAACUGCAGAGCUUGAGUACCGGAGAGGGUGGCGGAAUUCCCCAAGUAGAGGUGAAAUUCGUAGAUAUGGGGAGGAACACCGGUGGCGAAGGCGGCCACCUGGACGGUCACUGACGCUGAGACGCGAAAGCGUGGGGAGCAAACAGG
rnacentral:rRNA from 1 species